AAUUCUCAAUCUCUCUUGCUUUUUUGUGAGAUGGGAUUGGACUUGGAGGUAUUCAUUGCCGGAGUCAUUGAUUCCGGCUCCUCUCAAAUGUGUUAGCUUGGAACCUUUUGUGGAUCAGCUUUCAGUGUGAUAAUUGUCUACGCUGUGGGCUGUGAAGCUAAUCAUGCCUUCACGGUGUGUGGGGUUCUGCUUCUAAUCGUCCUCUCUGUAGGACAAUCUUUUUGAC
rnacentral:misc_RNA from 1 species